rnacentral:rRNA from 1 species
AUGCGUCCUCUUCCUAUCCAUGAUCCAUCUGCCAGUCUGUCCCCAACAGACCCAAUUUACUCCUCCCAUCACCACCCCAACCACCCAGCUGCGAGCUCCUUCAUUGCGCCACCGCCGGCCAUGCAUGCCUACCUUCCCCACCACGACCUUCCUCUGUCCUCUCGCGUCACAUGGCCAGUCCAGUGCACAGCUGACCAUCCAUUCAAUGCUACGCAGCUUUCCAGCAGCUAUAUAACACGCCGGCCGGCUGCAGACAUUGGAGAACCAAGCUUCUUCUUCAGUAAGCUCGUAGCCAGCCAGCCAGCCAUGGGGAGGGGGAACGGAGUGAUGGGGAGCAAGGCAGUGGCGCUGGCGCUGCUGCUCUGCCUGAGCAGCGCGGCGGUGGGCGCGUGGGCCAGGCCCGUCGCUAACAAAGGGAAGCACGUCGCCGACGAGAAGUUCCUGUUGCUGAAGAAGCACUUCGGCAAGGGACUUGGAGGCGGCCUUGGGAAGGGUGGUGGGCUCGGUGGAGGUGGCGGUGGCGGAUACGGUGGUGGAGGAGGGCUUGGUGGCGGUGGCGGCUACGGUGGUGGUGGAGGACUAGGUGGUGGCGCUGGCCAUGGUGUCGGUGGAGGUCUUGGUGGUGGGUUUGGCAAAGGAGGAGGGCUUGGCGGCGGGUUUGGCAAGGGUGGUGGACUCGGCGGGGGUAUUGGUAAAGGUGGUGGUCUUGGUGAUGGAAUAGGCCAUGGCAUUGGUGGUGGUAUCGGCAAAGGUGGCGGUCUUGGUGGUGGUAUUGGCAAAGGCCAUGGGCUCGGUGGUGGCAUCGGAAAUGGCGGUGGUCUCGGCGGUGGCUUUGGCAAAGGUGGUGGACUAGGCGGCGGCGGAGGCGGCGGAGGAGGUGGUGGUGGUGGUGGCGGCGGUUUUGGCGAAGGCUUUGGCAAGGGAGGUGGGUUCGGUUUCGGGAUCGGCAAAGGUGGCGGUGGCGGCAUCGGCGGCGGCCACUGA